GAUGAACGCUGGCGGCGUGCCUAACACAUGCAAGUCGAGCGAUGACGCUUUCUUCGGAAAGCUGAUUAGCGGCGGACGGGUGAGUAACACGUGGGCAACCUGCCUUGUAGAGGGGAAUAGCCUUCCGAAAGGAAGAUUAAUACCGCAUAACAUUACUAAGUGGCAUCACUUGGUAAUCAAAGGAGCAAUCCGCUGCAAGAUGGGCCCGCGUCGCAUUAGUUAGUUGGUGAGGUAACGGCUCACCAAGGCGACGAUGCGUAGCCGACCUGAGAGGGUGAUCGGCCACAUUGGGACUGAGACACGGCCCAGACUCCUACGGGAGGCAGCAGUGGGGAAUAUUGCACAAUGGGGGAAACCCUGAUGCAGCAACGCCGCGUGAGUGAUGACGGUCUUCGGAUUGUAAAGCUCUGUCUUCAGGGACGAUAAUGACGGUACCUGAGGAGGAAGCCACGGCUAACUACGUGCCAGCAGCCGCCGUAAGAC
rnacentral:rRNA from 1 species